rnacentral:rRNA from 1 species
GAUGAACGCUGGCGGCGUGCUUAACACAUGCAAGUCGAACGAAGCACUUUAUUUGAUUUCCUUCGGGACUGAUUAUUUUGUGACUGAGUGGCGGACGGGUGAGUAACGCGUGGGUAACCUGCCUUGUACAGGGGGAUAACAGUUGGAAACUGCUGCUAAUACCGCAUAAGCGCACAGCAUCGCAUGAUGCAGUGUGAAAAACUCCGGUGGUAUAAGAUGGACCCGCGUUGGAUUAGCUAGUUGGUGAGGUAACGGCCCACCAAGGCGACGAUCCAUAGCCGACCUGAGAGGGUGAGCGGAGACACUGGGACUGAGACACGGCCCAAACUCCUACGGGAGGCAGCAGUGGGGAAUAUUGCACAAUGGGCGAAAGCAUGAUGCAGCGACGCAGCGUGAGCGAAGAAGUAUUUCGGUAUGUAAAGCUCUAUCAGCAGGGAAGAUAAUGACGGUACCUGACUAAGAAGCACCGGCUAAAUACGUG